AUGGUUUCUCAGCUCAGAUACCCCUCUCAUCAUUUUUCUGUAACUUUCACCUAUAACCGGCAUCGAGCUUUUGGGGGAGAAGCGACAUCUCUUCCUUCAAGGUGGUGGCAGACUCGGAAGACCAAGGUUGUCCACCGGGCUUUGGUUGAAUCAGGAAAUCGUAUUCAAGGAAGAGGGAGUGGUUUUCUGUUGUUUCAAGUGAUGGAUGGAAGUCAACGUGCCUUUGCAUGCACUUUGUCAAGUGAGAUGGAUAAGAAAUAUCUGUGGUCAAGAGGCGAAGUGUUUCAUCAGGGAAUCCGACCUAGCCAUAGCAAUGUCUCCUGCCCAUGGAAGCACGUGUUAUGAGUGCUAAGGUGCCAGGUGGGACAGGACUCUGAACACCAGUGAGCAGUGACUGACAUCUUCUGUUGCAGAAGUAUGAGAACUGAAGUGACAUGUUGAACAUCAAUCACAUGCAUACAAAGAUGCAGAGCUUGGAGUUGAACCCAAGUAUCGAAUGAUAAGUCCAAAUAUAUUGAUCCUCCCAGUGAUGCUUUUGCCUGAAAAAUCUUGAGACCCAAUGCUUAACCACUUAGAUACUCCUACUGGAUGGGGAGUUUCAAGCUAGUUAGUGAGGUGAUCAUUUUGCAGUAGAGGGAAGGGUACCAAUAAUUAAACUUGAGUUUAUAAGACCCUACUUUUUAGAGGGGAGAUGAGGAGGAGAAACAGACAGAUGGAUAGAUUUCUAAAUAUAUCUGAGUCAGAAAAUCUUUGAGCAGGGCAGAAUAUUUGGUUUUUGAAUAAAUCAUAAUUUGAUUUGAUAAAGUUAGGCUGG
rnacentral:lncRNA from 12 species